AGUGAACGCUGGCGGUAGGCCUAACACAUGCAAGUCGAACGGCAGCACAGUAAGAGCUUGCUCUUACGGGUGGCGAGUGGCGGACGGGUGAGGAAUACAUCGGAAUCUACUUUUUCGUGGGGGAUAACGUAGGGAAACUUACGCUAAUACCGCAUACGACCUACGGGUGAAAGCAGGGGAUCUUCGGACCUUGCGCGAUUGAAUGAGCCGAUGUCGGAUUAGCUAGUUGGCGGGGUAAAGGCCCACCAAGGCGACGAUCCGUAGCUGGUCUGAGAGGAUGAUCAGCCACCCUGGAACUGAGACACGGUCCAGACUCCUACGAGAGGCAGCAGUGGGGAAUAUUGGACAAUGGGCGCAAGCCUGAUCCAGCCAUACCGCGUGGGUGAAGAAGGCCUUCGGGUUGUAAAGCCCUUUUGUUGGGAAAGAAAAGCAGCAGGUUAAUACCCCGCUGUUCUGACGGUACCCAAUGAAUAAGCACCGGCUAACUUCGUG
rnacentral:rRNA from 1 species